rnacentral:tRNA from 1 species
GGAGAGGUGUCCGAGCGGCCGAAGGAGCACGCUUGGAAAGCGUGUGUAUCUUUACGGGUACCGAGGGUUCGAAUCCCUCCCUCUCCGCCA